AGUGAACGCUGGCGGUAGGCCUAACACAUGCAAGUCGAACGGCAGCACAGUAAGAGCUUGCUCUUACGGGUGGCGAGUGGCGGACGGGUGAGGAAUACAUCGGAAUCUACUUUUUCGUGGGGGAUAACGUAGGGAAACUUACGCUAAUACCGCAUACGACCUACGGGUGAAAGCAGGGGAUCUUCGGACCUUGCGCGAUUGAAUGAGCCGAUGUCGGAUUAGCUAGUUGGCGGGGUAAAGGCCCACCAAGGCGACGAUCCGUAGCUGGUCUGAGAGGAUGAUCAGCCACACUGGACCUGAGACACGGCCCAGACUCCUAGGGGAGGCAGCAGUGGGAAAUAUUGGACAAUGGGCGCAAGCCUGAUCCGGCCAAACCGGGUGGGUGAAGAAGGCCUUCGGGUGGUAAAGCCCUUUUGUUGGGAAAGAAAAGCAGCAGGUUAAUACCCCGCUGUUCUGACGGUACCAAAAGAAUAAGCACCGGCUAACUUCGU
rnacentral:rRNA from 1 species